rnacentral:lncRNA from 1 species
GUACCACAACCCUAGUAAUCAUAAAGUCAAGUUCUAAUGCCACCCAAAUCAUAGUCCCUAAUGAUCAUAAUCUAGGCUUUGAUACCAUUCUUGUCAUACCCCAGAUCUCACACUUGGAUUGACCAUAUGACACGAUCGUAUAUUUUCUAGAGUCAAAUUCUAGAGCAUAUGUAAUACUACUAUAAUAAGAAAACCACUGUCAUAGCUUGUAUAGUAGUGGUUAUAAGAAACCGCUGCCAUAGG